rnacentral:lncRNA from 1 species
GUUUUUGGUGGUUGCAGAAAUAUUUACUAUUCUGGUGAUGUUAAUGCCUAAUGUGACAAAGUUUAAUUUAUUUAGGCCUCAGGCCUUGCAAGAAAAUUUUGUGUGGCUAAACCCAUUGCUCAUAUGGCAUCCAACUGUGGCAUUGCUCAUAUGGCAUCCAACAGUGGAGUCAGUGUGAGCAGGAGGAUGGAUGUACUCUCAUAGAAAAGCGUGCAGGACUGAGCUGACUUUGAUAUAUACAACGUAGUUACACAGUGACAGUCACAUACAAAGGCUGUUUGACAACAGUCCAUGGUAUAGUAAAUUUCACCUCCUGUCUUCAGCCUCUGCAUUGAUGUUCACCCAAAAAGUGGCUUUCUCUUUAUGAUGGUAUUUAUUUAUUUAAGUGCCAAUCAUCAAACUGUAGUAUAAUAAUCAUGCCAUUUUUCUGUUUCCUAGACCAGAUAAUGGAAAUGUAUUUGUGCCUUUUGAUAGCAUGCCACUUUGCUUUAUUUGUAUUGGCAGCUUUAAGUCACAGGUGGGAUUGGGAGCAGGCAAGAUGACCAGCUUCAGUGCUGACAGAAUUAAGGAAAGGAGAACAAGUGCAAACGAAUGGACUGAGAAAGGGCUCAGAAACCAGGAGGCCGUAUAGAUAUUGGUGGGCAAGUGGGGAGCUACUAAAAUAAAAGAGGCUGCUGCAGACUGUAAAAACUAGAGUAGGGGUAAUGUUAGCCCUGCUGCAUCCUUUAAGUCUGCUGUGUGAGAAGACUGUGUUUUUAAAUGUAAAGUACAGAGCUGGGGGAAGGGAAAGUCCCUCCAGAUUGGUGGCAGAUAGUAUAAAGUAAUCAGAUCCCCCCAGGAAGAUAAUUUUGUUGCUCUUGGUGUAGAGUUCUCACUACGAGUUUUGAGCUACAUAAAAGAUUUAAACAAAUAACAACAACAAAAAAGCUUUCCUGCUACAACAAGCACUCGGUAUGUAUUUGUAUGCUGUGUACAGUAUGAGCUAAAGCAUACCAUAUAUUGUUUUUGUUAUUCCACACGUUGUCAACAGCCCACUUGCGAUAUAUACCACCUGAAUUAUAUAUUGAUAAGUUAGCUACCACUGGAGCUAGUUUGUUUCUUGUUUCAAAAUCUUAUGUCCCUAUGAAAUGCUGUGUAUAUAUAUAUAUCUCUAUACUGUAAAAAGAAGUAAUAUCGCAGAUGCUGGUUUUGUAUUUAUGAGAGACAUUGAAAGUAUGGCUUAAAGUAUAUCAAUUAUUUGUCACUCUUCACCAUUUGUAUAUUAAUAGUAAAGAUACUUUUACUUUAAUGAAGUGUUGUAGUUCACGUUUAUUUUUGCUAAGUGUCUUUCUGUCAAUGAUGUCUGAUUCAUUAGGAG